GAUGAACGCUGGCGGCGUGCCUAAUACAUGCAAGUCGAGCGAAUGGAUUAAGAGCUUGCUCUUAUGAAGUUAGCGGCGGACGGGUGAGUAACACGUGGGUAACCUGCCCAUAAGACUGGGAUAACUCCAGGAAACCGGGGCUAAUACCGGAUAACAUUUUGAACCGCAUGGUUCGAAAUUGAAAGGCGGCUUCGGCUGUCACUUAUGGAUGGACCCGCGUCGCAUUAGCUAGUUGGUGAGGUAACGGCCCACCAAGGCAACGAUGCGUAGCCGACCUGAGAGGGUGAUCGGCCACACUGGGACUGAGACACGGCCCAGACUCCUACGGGAGGCAGCAGUAGGGAAUCUUCCGCAAUGGACGAAAGUCUGACGGAGCAACGCCGCGUGAGUGAUGAAGGCUUUCGGGUCGUAAAACUCUGUUGUUAGGGAAGAACAAGUGCUAGUUGAAUAAGCUGGCACCUUGACGGUACCUAACCAGAAGGCCACGGCUAACUACGUGCCAGCCGCCGCAGUAA
rnacentral:rRNA from 1 species